GGGAGAAAAGGCUAGCCCGUCUGGUCUGAUAACACAGAAGAGCUACUGUGCAUUGCAUGUGGGACUGCGUAGUCACAGACCAGAGUGCACAUGAUGACCCCUGUCCACCACUGAAAGUGCCUUCAAUGGGCACAGGAGCAUCAGAACUGGAUCAUGGAGUAAUGAAAGAAGGUUGCAUCUUGGUUGCGGGCAUUUUACCAGACGAAUCAGGCAAAACUUUAACAGGUGACCCUGGUGGCCGCAAUAUAGGCACAGGCCUUCCUUCCUCCCCGAGAGAGAGGCGUGUGAAGCCUAACAGCCUUGGCUCCACACCGCCAGAGGACUCAGGACUAGGAGGCUUGGGAGAUGAGGUAAGCUUGGUUGGGGAAGAAAAGCUUGGUGCCAAAUAUACAGGAGACCUCCACAGGCGCUCCCUGAACAAGGGUCUCUCUCGGAGUCUGAUAUCAAUAAGGAUGACAAAGGAUAUCAGUUCCUGAAGAUCUUUAGGUAAUUCUCCGGCUGCAAUUUUAUCCUUAAUAGCAUC